rnacentral:rRNA from 1 species
AUUGAACGCUGGCGGCAGGCCUAACACAUGCAAGUCGAGCGGAUGAAGGGAGCUUGCUCCUGGAUUCAGCGGCGGACGGGUGAGUAAUGCCUAGGAAUCUGCCUGGUAGUGGGGGAUAACGUCCGGAAACGGGCGCUAAUACCGCAUACGUCCUGAGGGAGCAAGUGGGGGAUCUUCGGACCUCACGCUCUCAGAUGAGCCUAGGUCGGAUUAGCUAGUUGGUGGGGUAAAGGCCUACCAAGGCGACGAUCCGUAACUGGUCUGAGAGGAUGAUUAGUCACACUGGAACUGGAACACGGUCAAGACUCCUACGGGAGGCAGCAGUGGGGAAUAUUGGACAAUGGGCGAAAGCCUGAUCCAGCCAUGCCGCGUGUGUGAAGAAGGUCUUCGGAUUGUAAAGCACUUUAAGUUGGGAGGAAGGGCAGUAAGUUAAUACCUUGCUGUUUUGACGUUACCAACAGAAUAAGCACCGGCUAACUUCGUG